CCAAAUGCCACGUGAGGCCGGUGGUUCCAAGUGCCACGUGAGCCUCAAGCAGCGGUGAUUCUUGGGACUCGCGUCUUCCCAGCGUCUCCCUUUAAGCAGUGAGAUCUGUACCUGCACCAAGUGCACCAAGAAGAUUCUCUCCGGUUGUUCGAUUCUCUCCACCCCUGGAGUGAACUGGUCAGUGACCAGGGUGGUUCCUGCAACAGCGUGGACAGGCCUUCUCCUUCCCAGCGGUUUGGGACCUUCCUGGAGCACCUGCUCGCCUUUACAAUGAUCUCUCUCUCUCUUUCUCUCUCUCUCUUUCUCUCUCUCUCUCAACUCUCUCUCUCUCUGCCAAUGGUUUGCCCUUCUGUAUUUGAUGCAAGAUUAAACACUUCCCAGAGAGGAUUCUAGCCUGGUAAAUAACCAGGGUUCAGGAAAUGUCCAGCUGGCAUUUGUCUUUCUUGCAAAGUAUUUUCAGAAACAGGUGGUGACCCUGAGUUGGAAGCAGCCCCUCCACUGGGCUCCGGUGGCCAGACUCUCCUGGGGGUUUUGGUGUGUGAGAGGCAGCUGCGGAGGAAAGAAUGGGACUUCGGCUAGUACACCUCUCCCACUACUGUGUCUAAACACCUGGGAGCUGGAAAGCAAAUCGCCAGUCGAUGAGCCUGUAGCUGCCUUGGAACGAAGACUGACCAGAGUUAACAUCUUUUGGUAGCUACUCUCUGAGUGCAGAAUUCUUCCAAAACUGGGAAAAGCCAGUGUGAUCUGAUUUU